AUCAAGGGUAAGCAAGCCUAGAGAGUUAACCAGAGGGAGAGACCUAAACAGCAUGGCUGUUUCCACCAUCUUAGAUUGUAUUGAUUAUUCUUUGCUGUAACGUCUGUCUCUCUCACACACGCUAGCUCUCUUUCUCUCCCUUUCUGUCCCUCCCUCCCUCUUUCUGCCUCUGUUCUGCCACCUUCCCUACUCGGCGAUCACCAUUUGGCUUUUUCCAUUUGUGGCAGAUUACUGUAACGCUAUUGUACAACAACUUCCUGCCUCUUUUGGCUCUGGUUCUAAAAACUGCAAAGGCAGAGCUUGUGGCUUCAACUUUUUCCUCUCAGCCUUGAACUACAGGAGCUCUAUAAAGAAAGAAAAGGAGGAAGGAGAUAUGUAAAGUGUGUCUGUUACUGAGGAACUAUUUUGAUUGCAUUUCUGCUUUAUAAACUGCUGAGAAUUAAAGAGGGCAAGAGGGGACUACAUGCCUAGCAGAGACAAUGAAAGAAAAAAAGGAUUCUGAAGGGAGAAGAGGAGGAAAAGAGACACCGAGAGAAAAAGAGCAAGGGAGAGUUUCUCCUGGGAACAAGCUGGAAAUCAUGGACCUAUUCGAUAUCAGACCUCAGAGUGGACAACCUAUCCAAAGAGGGACGCGCCCUAACUGUAACUAACAACUACUUCUGGCAGCCCUUCAACAGCCAAACAUAUUGUCCUGGAUCAGGGCAGCUUUCGUAUGGCAGCAUCGAACUAGGGCAGCUUAGGCAUGAAAUCUACAUCAAACUACAGUAUCAAUAAUGGUAUAAAAAUGUUGAUAACAAUGUAUUAAAGUAAAUGAAUGUGUUUUAUGAGUGUAUGAGUUUUAUGAGUUAUAGAUUGAGCUAUAAACUAAUACUACAUUGAGCUAGCUGAGACAAAAAGGGAGAUCAGUGCAGAUCUUUUAUUUUAUUUUAUUAAAUAUUAUCAUGUAUUACAUAAAUGUAUACACAUACUUGUCCUGCGAUAUUACAAGACCAAAAUUAAACCCUGAUACAAUAUGGUAUAAUGAUUUAACCUGAAAAGUCAAAGUCUGAAGAUCUAAAACUAUAUUAUAGUAGAAGUAAGCACAAAGAUGUUGUACAUUAAUAUAUGACAUGAAGUUAAUUAUAAUGUAGAAUCAUUGGAUGUUAAAAAGAUAUUAAAAUUUCCUUCAUGCUAAUAGAAGAACUCUUAAAUAGAGUUACUAUUUAUGAACUGUAAUACCUAUGUUAUCCCAUGGUCAUUGGCAGAGAUAUUUCAAUGUAGUAUAAAUCUUGUAUAAAUUUCACAUAGAUAAAGGUUAUUAAGUGGUCUUACCUAAACUGCACUGUAAAAAUACUGAUCUAAGGCAUUAUCAGGACAAAUGAUUCUCCUUUUCCACUUGACUAGCCUGCACCAGGCUUCUACAUACCUGAACUCUCCCUUUGCAGUUUUCCCCUGAGGGCUGUUAAUACCUACAUUAAAAAGCCUUGGCCAUUUUGUUUUAUUCUCCCUCAACACUAAACUAGGGCUGCACAAGCCUGGCAUUUUAGGGGCCAUGUCACAGCGCCGGUGUCUGCGCCGCAGGGCUGUAAGGAGUCCAUCACACUCAGUGGUUCACUGCCUCAACAAACACUUUAUGCAUGCUGUUUUGUUAUCUUACACAUUCUCUCUAGCAUCCUUGCUCUACUGAGAGCAGCAAAACAUGCACCUAAUAUGCUUAUUCCAUUUCAUUAACAUGUUCUCCUCCUGGUGCCUUCUCCAACACAGACCUAAUGAGUCUUCAACCCCUGGAUCUCUUCACAGCACUUUUUCUCUUCUGAUUACCACAGCAAAGUUAGCUCAGUCACAAAAUAGAUAGAUAGAUAGACAGAUACUCAUCCAAUUCGGAAUUCAGCAGUGCCAUUUAAUGAGCUUGAUAACCGUUUCUAACUUUCUGCACAGUAAGAAAAAAAUCUGUGGCUUCCUUUAAAAGGGGACACAGUACUGAUAUUGAUUUGAAAGUGACAAGGAUAAAAACACUGAUUAGGUAAAUUCCACUUGGGCUGACAGACUGUAACUGAUUUGAAUAAUGUUAUCAGCAGAAGGAUGUUUAUCAUUGUAGGAAAAAGCAGUGCUUCAUAUGAGCUGUGUAAACAGAGGGUUUAAUACUCUGUGGGCUGUUUCUGAAAAUUUUGUCACAAAUGUUCAAUUCCAGUAAAAUAUUAUUUGUAAGAUGAGCAAAUGACACGCUUCAAAUUUGGUGCCAACACUAUAUAUGUCUAAAACUGUACAUUGCACAGCUAUUUUUUUAUUUUAUUACAUUUAUUACUUCUACCCUGUCUUUUGCUUUGUGAGGUUGUCCAAAUUUUAGAGUAUGUAGACAUUGAAAGUAAUGGCCAACUGAGGACAUAUUGUAAAUAGACAUUACUGUAAAUAUGACCCUUUACAGUACAGUACGUGAGGUUGUUACCUGCUUUUUGGCAUAACAACUGGCUAGUGUCUUUAAGUGGACAAAGUAGUUCGUAUAGAUACCGUGAUUUGUUCUGGUACUCUGUAUUAUGUUUGUGCCCAUCAGACGGGCAAGUAGAGACACUGAAGAGCUUGGUUAUCUGAGGACAUGCACAUUCUACAAAGGGGUUGUUUCUCUAAAUCUGAAUCCUUUUUUGCCCCAGUCAAGCAUUUUUGUUGACAACUGGUUGGUCUGUGUGCUUCAUACUGAGGUUUUUCUCUAUUCAGUACAGUUCCUACAGGGUAUACUAGAUAUAUUACUACUACUACUACUACUGAUUACAGAAAAUGAAUAUGCAGUUUAAAUUAUCUAAAUAUUUUUAAUUGUCUGUUCUUUUUCUUAUGUAAAUGUGCAAUAACUUUUUGCCUGGAAAUGUUUUAGGUAACCUGUUUUUCAUAUAAAGCCAUUUGAGUUGCAUUUCAUGUGAAGUGUGUGAUAAAAAAUAAUGUUUAUUAUUA